ncrna:Collinsella aerofaciens ATCC 25986 RT-2 RNA
UAUUGCCAGACCGAGUAGGCCCCAGAGCCGAAAGCAGAGCGCGAAGAGGAAGGAAGGCGCGACCGUCGGGCAUGCGCCCGUAAAUACGCACCCCGCGAGGGUGGCCGGACGCUGCUUGCAUGGCGCGGCGCUCCGUGGCUUCGCCGCGUUUCAUGGCCAUACCUCAAGCGGCUGCCAGAGCCACAUUGCAAGCCGCGCGGGGUGCCUCCUGUGAACUCCGAGCAA